GCCUGGAUGGUCUAAGUGGUUAGGGCGUCCGUCUCGGAUGCGGGAGGUCACGGGUUCGAACCCUGGCCGAGUCA